rnacentral:lncRNA from 1 species
GCCCAGGCAGAGUCUGGCCGGGGAGCAUGGCCCCUACGUCUGAGGGAGGCUCCAGUCCGUCCGCAGAGGACGAGGCCGUGGGUUCGAGAAAUCCUCGUAGUGCUUCCUAGAGUUAACGCGGGUAAGGAGCGGCCCAGCCCCCAGCCCCUCGGCCCGAUUCCUGGUUGGAGGCCCCUUAUUAAAGGGGCGAGCCCCCCAAAGCGGCGGCCCAGGCACGCGUCACUGCCAUCCGGUUGGCAAAGGUUGCCGGCAUUUUUCAUGGUUCUUGUUUUGUGCCCCGCACUGUGGAGUGACGUCCCUGGGGAGGGGGCGCGGCGGGAUGCAGUCCCCCCAGGCCUGUCCCCACCUGCCUCGCGCUAGGGUGCCUUGAGGAGCGCGACCUGGAGAGAAGACUUGCGGGUCCUCUUUCUUCUUACACUCACACUUUUGGGGUUCUGGUUUGGUUUGGAGCAAAGAACCCACAUAGUUCCAGAAUGUCUCAGGGUUCUCCUGAAGCUUCCUCACAGUCUGUGACCAUGCUGGCUUCCCCCGGCCAGAGCAUGACCCACACGGAUGGGGCGAGGGCCAGACUCGGGUUCCUGGCCACAAGGUCACUACGCAUCCGGGCAGGUUUCCUCUCUCCAUCCCCUCUUCAAUUGGUAGAGCCAGCUGCCACCUCUGAUGAUGGUGUCACCUUCCACAAUAAACUCACUCAUCUUCGAACCCAAGAGCUGCUCUUUAAUCCCUGGCCUUCCACCCUUGGGAAUUCGUGUCCUCACUUCCUUGCAAAACAGAUGCCCACCCUUCUCCUUAUUCCAUAGACUGUGCUCCUACACCCCCACCCCUCCCACUACUGCCGCGGGCCCUCCAGGGCACCAGGUGAGCAGAGGGCUGGCAUAGCAUCCACGUGCUCUCCUAGAGACUCAGCCUCUCAUUUGUGGCUCCACUGGGCCACACCCAGGUCUGCCCUGUCCCAGGAGGGGCAGAAGAACACAGCUUCCCCCAGCAGUGAAACAGAUCACUGAUCCUGUAGGACAGUGUGAAGAUAAAGUGAGAGUCCCCCUCUUUAAGUCGACAAAUAUUUAUCAACUAUCUAUUACAUUCCAGGCCCAGAAGCAUUACCAGUUCCAAGAUAUUUUGCAAAUAUUCUGGAACACAUUAGCAGAGGAAGGAGUAACUUUUGGGAGUGUUAUAAACAGGUGUGGCAGAGACCGCAGCGCUCACAAUAUUUGACACCUGUGCUCCUCUCGUCCUCCUGGGCAACCACUGGACCACACCCCCAGCCUCCCUACAGUCAGAUGGAGCCACUGACUGGGUUCCGGCCAAAGAAAUGGGAGCAGACAUAAUAUGUGCCACGUCCAGACCUGGCCCACAAAAACCUCCCACACAACACAAAAAUUAACAAAAUGGAUCACAGACCUAAAAGUAAAACAUAAAACUUUUAAGAAAAAACUGAAGAAAAUCUUUGGGAUCCAGGGCUAGUCAAACAGUUCUUAGGCUCGAUAGAAAAUCACAACCCAUAAAAGGAAAUAAAUGGAGAGAUUAGCUUUCAUGCAAAUUAAAAACCUUUGUUCUUAGAAAGGUCCUGUUAAGAAGACAAGUUACAGACUGGGAGAAAACAUGUUCACCCCGUAUUUCCAGAUAUCUAGAAUACAUAAAGAACUCUCAAAACUCAAUAAGCAAAAAGCAAACAAUCCAAUCAGAAAAUGGGCAAAAGACAUGAAGAGAGAGUCUACCAAAGAGGAUACAGAGAAGCUAAUGAGCCCAUGAAAAGGUGUGCAAUGUUACUAACCAGCAGGGAAACACAAAUUAAAAUGACAGAUAGCAUCACACACCUAUGGGAUUAGCUCAAAUGAAAAACAGUGGCAACACUAAUGCUGGUAGGGUGUGCAGAAAUGGCCUCCCUCACACAUUGCUGGUGGGCCUGUCCAAUGGUAGGCCAUACUGGGACAGUUUGGCAGUUAAAACGACAAAACAUGCAACUCUCUUCCACCCCAGCGGUUACGCUCCUGAGCACUUAUCUCAGAGAAAUGAAGACUUGUGUUCACACAAAGACCUCUAUAAAAAUGUUUACAGCAGCUUUAUUCAUAGUAGCCCAAAACUGGAAACAACCCAGGUCUCCUUCGGUGGGUGAAUGGCUAAACAACCGUGGUCCAGCCACACCACAGCAUACUAUUCAGGAACAAAAAAGAACAAACUAUUGCUACAUGUAACGACCUGGAAGAACCUCCAGAAAAUUAUGCUGAGUGAAAAUAAUCUCAAAAAGUUAUGUGAUGUAUGAUUCCACAUAUAUAUAGUAUUAUUGAAAUGACUAUAGAAAUGGAGAACAGAUUACUGGUUGCCGGGGCUUAAGGUGGCGAUGGAGGUAGGAAGGAAGCAGGUGUGGCUAUAAAGGGGCAACCUGAGGGAUCCUUGUGGUGAUGGCCCUGUUCUCUCUCCUGACUAUAUCUGUGUCAGCAUUGGCUAUGAUAUCGUAGUAAAACUUUGCAAGAUGUUACCAUUGGGGGAAACUGAGUGAAGGGUCCACAGGAUCUUUCUGUAUUAUUUCUUACAACUUCAUAUAAAUCUACAAUUGUCUCAAAAUAAAAAGUUUAAUUACUGCUCCCCCUACAAAUACUCCUCCUCCACAUGAUCUUUGCCCUUUCCCCCUCCACUGGACAGAUGGAGACACUCCAAGGACUUUGAGGAGGGCAAGGCACAAGAAGAAAGGGGUCUGGGUCCCUGAAUGGCCGUGUGGAGGAGAGUCAGCCCCUCGCUGCCCCGUACUGAGCUGAGAUGUAAUCAAGAAAAAGCUGUUUUUGUGUUAAACCACUGACAGCUGGGGACUGUUUGUUACUGCAGUCACUCCUUACCCUGCUAAUGUCACAUUGGAGGAUCUGGGAUUUUAACCCAAAUUCAGGCUUCACAGGGAACCGACAAGUAUGCUGAUUUUUCCAUGAAACAAACUAUUUUGAUUUCUGGUGCGAAGAAAUUACCCUAUCUUCCAUCUGUGUGAAAACCGGGGAUCACCUCCUGCCUUCAGCACUUUCUGGCUUUUCGAGUUUGAGUCCAUCACUGGACUUCCCAAAGCCUCACUCUCCCGACUGCAAGACUAGGGAAUUGGGAAGGUGGGUGCAUGUCUGUGGAAUGACGGAGCGCUCUGUGCACGCAGAGAUCUGGGGGUGUGUCCAGCAGCCUCCUCUUUGUUCUCCAACAAAGUUCAUCCAACUCCUCUGGCCUCCAGGUUCUUCUGUCUUAGCCCCAGAGAGACCUUCUUUAAAAAUGAACCUGAUCAGUUGCUUUAGUUGACAAAUAACCACAACAACAAUGACAGAAAGAAAGUAAUGCUAUUAUUAAUAGUGACAGCAUCAUUUAUCAACCACCUACUGUGUUCCUAGUGAUACUUGCAGGCAACCUGUCUACCCUCGGGCUCGUGCUGGCGUUUCCCCGACCCUCCAGGUGGGUGCUGCUCCACCACCCUGCUCCCCUUCACCUGGGCCCGCCGAGGCUGCUUCCUGCCCUUCUGGCAAGGUCUGUUGUGGUUCAGGAAGUGCAGCAGGGGCGCGAUAACGUUAGAUGGGUGAGUGGAUCCCUUCAUCUACCUUCUCGUCUUCUUACAUCUUGGUCUUGAUACGCUGGUGACAAAGGGACAUGGGCCUGCCUGGGCUUUGGAAAACAUAAGGAAUGCAGGACAGGUGGGUCCAUGCUGCAAAGGGUUUCUCGGUGUGCCAUGCAGGGAGGAUGCCUUGAUGGAGGGCCAGACACAGUGCUACUUCCUCCUGCCCCGUGGUCUUCACUUCUCUCUGGGGCCUUGGUAGGACCCCUCAGUCAUAGCCUUAGAUAGAGAACUGAAGUUGCAUCCUGGCAGCCUGCGGGCAUGCCCUCGCCCCCAGACACAGCGCUGUUUCCUUCGGCCGACACAGGGCAGGAGGGUGUGUGUAUGUAUUUAAAUUGACUUAGUUGCCAAUAGCUUAAACAUGGGAGACCUGUCAACUGCGGGCAGCCCCUUUGUGGCCAUGACUGGGGGAAGCUGCCACCUCUAGACUUGCAGGUGCCCUUCAAUUCAUCUGUCCCCACCUGCCUCUGCUAUGGAUGUCAUCUGUCUGGCCCUCAGAUGUUUGAGGCUGUGACCUCAGAAAGAGGGUGUAGAUGGGGCCUGGGUGUUACCAGCUCCUGAAUGGCUUUACGUGACAGGCACUGGGUGGAGUGCCUUGUAUACAUCAUCUUAGUCACAUAAAAUGUCCUUCUGCAGAAUAGGAAAUUCUGACGGGCUCUUCUUAGGAUGAGUUCCGAAAGCUGGGGGCCCAGACCUCAGUAAGGUCAGGAUGAAGUUUCCCUGGUUGUACCAGUUCUAUUGCCACGGUAACAAAUUACCACAAACUUAGUGGCUAGAAACAACACAAGUGUAUUAUCUUGCAGUUGUGUAGGUCCGAGGUCUUCCUGGGCUAAGGCGAGGUGUUGGCGGGGCUGUGCUCCUUUCUGGAGGCUCUGUGGAGAGUCCACUCCCUUUCCCAGCUUCUAGGGGCUGCCCUCUUUCUCCCUCUGUCUUCACAGCUGCGACAGUGGUGGAGUGCUGCUCACAUCACGCCACCCCAACGUCCUCUCCUGCCUCCUCCUUCCACUGAUGAUCACGCUGGACUCAUGAUUCCACUGGGCCCAUCUGGAUGACCGACGAUAAUCUCCCCAUCUGACAGUCUGCUCGUGAGCAGCCUUAAUUCCACCGGCUGCCUCAGCUCCCUUUUGCCACGUCAGGGAGCAUACUCACAGGUUCCGGGGAGUAGGAAGUGGCCCUCAUACCUACCACACUGGUCCACGGCAGAAUGACAAAAAUGACAGUGUGCCGCUUUUCCCAUGAAGACAGUUUUUAAAAUUAUAAUUUUAAAAUGAUAUGCCUCUGAAUGUAUGCCUUCUCACUUUGGGGGGAUGGGCUGUUAAAUAUGAAAUGUAUCAAGUAUGAAAUGUCCUUUCGAGAAAAAAAGGAAAAGUUGGAAAACUGCAGUUUUCCUGGUCCAUGAAGUUCCAACUUGUGGGAAACGAUACUUUGGGCUAAGUAGUCCCACAGACGCACUCCCCAGAGCAUCACAGGCACGUGCCAGAGGCUGGCAGCUCGGGGUGCUGCUGCAGGCCUGGGGUCCUCCACGUUAUGGAAAUAUGAGGGUGCCAAUGACAGGUGCUUCUGAUCCCGUUCCGAUCGGCUCCCUGAUCAGGACACAUGUUGGGCUGAGGCGUGGGGCCCAGGCUGUCAGCAACCACAAGGUAGCCACAAGAGGUAGGCUCCUGUGACAUGUGUCACCCUCCAUCGCUGACAGGUGGGCCAAGGGGGACGUGUAUACACAUAUGCUUAUCUGAGUCUGGUGAGGUUCCAUGGAUGGGAUAAGAGGGCUGUGUGGUCUUUGACAAGUCAUUCAACCUCUCUGAGCCUGUUUCUGCAUCAUCAAUAAAAUACAGAGCAUAACACCUUCCUCAUGGGGCUUAUGAGGCUAAUGAGAUCCUAAAUGAGAAGAACUUCAUGUAGUCCACACAAAGAUUCUAUAUUUUAAAUAAACAAAGACCAGUUUUUACCUUACCUUGUGGAAAAUACUCUUCACAUGUUUGAGGGUUAAAAAUUACUGUAAUCUUUAAUAUAAUGUUUCAUGGUUUUUGCUGUUGUCAUUUUUCUUAGAGAAACAAGUUAAACCAGAAGCAACUUUAAAAAAUCUUCUAAGUCUGGUGGGCGUGUCCAAUGGUUUUGAUGUCAAGAUGAUGACAAAUUCUCUCCAGAGAUGGUAUAAAAUCCAACCAUUGACAAGCAGAAAUUCCUGGAAUCUUCUACCACUCUACAGCACUAGUCUAAAAGAACACAGCUUUUAGAACUAAACUGGGAUCCAUCCAUGGCAACAGGUGCAGAGGAACCCAAGGAGAAUGAAGGUCAGGAGAGAGGGGGACGCAUGAAGCCCGUUACACUUUUCCGUGUCCUUCGGCAUUUGUUCUGUGACCACUGUGGAGCACAGUGCCUCGGGCUCAGCCCUUGCCCCCUCUUCCUUCUGGCUUACUUGCGUGAUCUACGGGGCUGGCCAGUAAACAGCUUUACCAGACUCUCCUGCACCUGAGCUUCUGCACGUGAGUUUGAGUGUGACAGGUGUGGAAAAUGAGAGUGAGGCGGGUCAGCAUCUGCAGUUUCUGGGCAGGCUGGUGGACAUCAGGAGGCACAGGGGCCUUCUGUUUCACUGGGAUGGCUAUAGUGAGCAGCUACGAUUUCUGGAGACUGAAGCAGGUGUGGCUGGUCCUGAUUCCAGAGAGGCAGCAGUGCCCUGGCAGCUGGUUCUGCAGGGGAGCUUUGGGAACCAUCCCUGAAAGCUCUGCCUAGAGGUGGUUUUCAGCCCUCCCACUUAUUCUAGAAGCCAUUUUGCUGAAUGAAGCCCAACUCACACUAGCUGGAGUGGAGUCUGUUCUCUGCAGCUGAGCCUGCACUGCUCCUGCUGUUCCACAGGACCUGUCCGGUGAGCAUCUGCUGUGAGCCCACACUGUGCUGCGCAAGAAGGGGCCCUCAGGGAAGCACUGGAACAGCUCGCAAAGUGCUGCGCUGAAGCUAAGUUAAUCCUCUCCAUAGCCAUGUGAGCUAAGAAUUAUUUUCACUCCUCUCAGACAGAAGAGGAAACUGAGUCACAGGGGGAUUAAAAAACUUACCUGAGAUCACUGAGACAGAAAGAGGCCAAGCCAGGCUGCAGUCUGGCUCCAGGGCACAAGUCUCCAUCGCCACCCUCUACUACCUGCCUGUGGGGUCUGUGGUCCAGGCAGAGUCCAAAGGUUGGUCAGAUGUCUCAUUUCUUUUGCAGAGAAUAAAACCAAACACCAUAAGUAUGCAGUUAUGAAGUGGGCUGUUUUGUGACUCUUUGAUUUUGUUCAUCUUAAUUUGAGGGUUUAUCAAUCAGACCUGAGAGAUUUCAAACCUGAACUCAAACAAGGGACCACAGAGAUCUCUCUCCUAUCGUGUUUUCCACGUGGAGCAUCCCCACUCUCUCCCCCAGCCUUCUACAGCAUCAUCCCUCAGCAGAAUGAUAGUCCACAAGUAGCCUGUGUAGCUCUCAGAAACUGAUUUCUUACAUCCUACAUUUGAAGUCUGGAAUAUUAACCAAAUAGUGCUACCACCAAGGACAUGUUCAGUCUGUCCCUAAAGAGGGCUGGGAGUGUGGCUCACACUCACCAUGUAGUUCUUGCUUUCUUUGUAGGGGAGAUUAGCAGGCAAAAUUGCUUUUCUCUACUCCUCCACAGAGAUAAUUUAUCACUAUUGAAGAGUGGUAUGCUUCUCUACUUGCUUGGUUUGGAAUUGCAGCAGACAUCCAAACUUUUGCAAAAUUCCAUUGCUUUCUGCAUGGAAUGCAACUCAACGCAUCGAUGUCUUCCAUAGAGCAGAGCCAGAGCCAUGUUAGUAAUGGAAUCCUCAGAGCCCGCUGACACCCAGAGCCUUGCUGUUGACGGCCUCAGUUGCUCAAGUGCACGAUUGCACUUUACAGGUCUAAGGUCUUCCCUCAACCCCCGCCCUGCUCCAUCCAGCACAAGAAGAUGCAGUGCUCACUUGAUGGAAUUAAAACAUGCCAAAACCCCACAAAAGAAUGCAGGCUGGGUGUAGCACUCAUCUGCUAAGUAUGAAAUCUUUCCCUGAGUGAGUUCUCCACAAAUCAGGUCAGUCCCGACAGCCGACACUACCUUAGGCAGGGAGGGGCCGACGGCGCCAUUAAAAACUCCUGCCAGCGCUUGCCUCAGACAAUGUAAAUACAAAACUGGUGCUUGUGUUUAUUUAAAGUUAUUGGCAUUGGGCUCAUUCCUGGUAGACAAAGAUUAUAUUGUUUACAACAGCAUCCAGAUGAUGGACAAGACUUUGUAUAAUAUAAAUCGAACUAUGCAGGGGGGGCACCCCUUAGCAUAAACAACUUCCCUCAAGCAAAACAAAUCCUGCCAAGAUUCAAGCUGGAAUCCAUUUAUUACCCGACUUCAAGCUGACUUGUUUCAACAUUCAGCAACUGCAAAAGCAGAAGGAUAAGAACUGAUGUCCGAGGCAUUACCAGCCAGUCCUUUAACUUCUAACGCUUUUUGCAAAAGGUGUUUCUUGCUUUGUCAUGUUGCAAUGUACAUUUCCUGCAAAUGCUGUCAUUCUUGUCACUUCACAGCAUGGUGUGGCGGUGGACCAUGCAUGCAUAUAGAAGGUGAGCAGGAGCAAGGGGACACCCUGAAGAGUGCCACUGUCCUUUCAAAAGCAUUUGGGGGGCUGGCCCCCUGGCCGAGUGGUUAAGUUCGCGCGCGCUCCGCUGCAGGCGGCGUAGUGUUUCGUUGGUUUGAAUCCUGGGCGGGGACAUGACGCUGCUCAUCAAACCACGCUGAGGCAGCGUCCCACAUGCCACAAGUAGAAGGACCCACAACGAAGAAUAUGCAACUAUGUGCUGGGGGGCUUUGGGGAGAAAAAGGAAAAAAUAAAAUCUUUAAAAAAAAAAAAAAAGCAUUUGGCUCGGGUGUAAACCCAGAAUCGGGAAACAUAGUGAGGGUAAGGACACAGAGACAGAUAUUCAGACUUAGGGGUGAACGUACAGAGCUCCAGCGGACGCCAAAGCCUGCCAUGAGCCCUGUGGCUGCUGGGAUUCGGCCUUGCCUGGAAUUGGGGACAGGGCCUUGUUGAGAUUUAUUCACUUGGGAGCCGAAGGGCCUCCUGGGAAAGACUAACCCGAGUGAAGGCAGAAUCUAGCUACAAGACAGCCAGAGACUGUGAGUCGGCGGCAAAGGCCCUCGCAGGAACAAUCGUGCCUGGGAACACUGACCCCGAGAAGAAGGGGGUGUGCACAUGGGAAGGAGGAACAGCGGCGGUGAAGGUCACAGGGGGAGGCACCCAAGGAGUGAAGACACUGGGUGUGUGGUGAGGGAACACACAGGAGGAGGAUCUGGACGCUGCCUCAGCACUGGGGGCAGCGAGUGAGCGUCUAAAGCGAGCGCCUCGCUCCAGCUCCGCGCAGGAGACGGGAUCGAGGGAGGGAGGGCGGCCGGUGCGCUCAGACGCCCGCGUCCCUUCGGAGCCCUCUCCCUUCUCCGUGUGUGUCUCCGUCGGGUUAGGACUGUCUUUCCCUCAGGGCCCGCGGGGUGCUGCACACGGUGGGAUUCCGUGUCGUGGAGGGACUCCCUCGCUCCGUCGGCCCGCUUGCCCCCUGCUCUCCGCGGCUGCGCCAUCUUCCUCGCCCCCUUGGGGCGGCCGGCCUUCUGAGUGCCCGUCUUGGUUAUUUACAGGCUGUUAUGACUCCACCCUUUGGAAAAACCUCUCUGAAGCCGCAAGUCACGCACAGAAGCCACGUUCACCCCGUGUCCUCAUUGGCCCGAACCAGUCCCGCGCCUACGUUGAGACCUUUGGCAUCUGAAGACAGGUCACUGAAUUGCUGCCCCAGGGGAUGACGUGUCUGGUGAUCUGGCCUCUGGAAUGUCCCAGCUGAGACAUUGAGACCUCCUCCCACCUUGCUCGGCCUGCUGAACUCUGCUGACAGCAUUUACCCCACGUAGAGCAGGAGGGAUAACGUCAGAAUUUGAAAACAACCCUCUACUGCCCUUGGCUGUCUCAUUUUCUGUGGACUGAGGAAAGUUUGUCACCAGCUCGUCUCUGCAAACUGGGGCUCCUUUGCCUGAACACUGAGGGCAUCUGCACGGCCUGCAGGUGGAAGUCUACUCAGAAGUGCUGCCAGGGCUCUAAGGGCACCCUGAGGAAAGCAAGUGCAAAAGUCUCUCAGUAUCUUGCCUCAGUUUCCAAUAUUAAUAACUGUGUGCUGAGUGCUAGCAGCCAGAAACGGUACUAUUGCUUUAAAGAGAAGUAAAAAAGACAAGUUGUGGCAAAUAGAAUCAUGAGAACCUGAAUCUGGAAGGUUUUUACUAAUGCUCUCACCCCUGUGGUUUUCAGGUUAGCGCUCCACGGAGCUCCAGCAGUACUGCUGGAACCAAUGCACCUCCGUUUUGUUUCAAAUAAUUGAGCUUCCAAUUACGAUAGAGAUCGAUUGCUUAAAAAAAUGCUUGAACACACUGAGCCAGUACACCUCAAAUUUAAAGGGGAAAGUGAGGCUGAAAGAAGCCCUGGGAUUUGCCUGGAGCCACCUAUUUAGUUGGCACAACUUGGCAGCACACCACCAGUGGGGUGGGGUAGGAAGGAUUCCUAUUGUCGACCUUUCAUAGUGUCUGUUCCCACGUCCAUCAAUGGCUGAGGCAAAUCUUCC